GACGAACGCUGGCGGCGUGCCUAAUACAUGCAAGUAGAACGCAGUUGCGAACGGUGUAGUAACGCGUAGGUAAAUGCCUGGUAGCGUGGUAUAACUAUUGGAAACGAUAGCUAAUACCGCAUACUACCAAAUAGACCUGCGUUGUAUUAACUAGUUGGUGAGGUAACGGCUCACCAAGGCUACGAGACAUAGACGAACUGGGAGGGUGAGCGGCCACACUGGGACUGGGACACGGCCCAGACGCCUACGGGAGGCAGCAGUAGGGAAACUUCGGCAAAGGGGGGAAACCUGACCGCGCAACGCCGCGUGAGUGAAGAAGGUUUUCGGAUCGUAAAGCUCUGUUGUUAAGGAAGCGGUACUUAACCAGAAAGGGACGGCUAACUACGUGCCAGCAGCCGCGGUAAUUC
rnacentral:rRNA from 1 species